rnacentral:rRNA from 1 species
CCUACGGGGGGCAGCAGUGAGGAAUAUUGGUCAAUGGGCGAGAGCCUGAACCAGCCAAGUCGCGUGAGGGAAGACGGUCCUAUGGAUUGUAAACCUCUGUUGCCGGGGAGAAAAAAGCGGUACGUGUACGGCAUCGAGAGUACCCGGAGAAAAAGGAUCGGCUAACUCCGUGCCAGCAGCCUCGGUAAUACGGAGGAUGCGAGCGUUAUCCGGAUUUAUUGGGUUUACAGGGUGCGCAGGCGGCGAGUUAAGUCAGGGGUGAAAUCCCCGCGCUCAACGUGGGAACUGCCUUUGAAACUGGCAACCUGGAGUGUGUGAGCGGAUAGUGGAAUUCCAGUUGUAGGAGUGAACUCCUUAGAUAUCUGGAGGAACCUCAGUGGCGAAGGCGACUAUCUGUCACAUAACUGCCGCUGAGGAGCGAACGCGUGGGUAGCAAACAGGAUUAGAUACCCCGGUAGUC